rnacentral:rRNA from 1 species
GCAGCGAAAUGCGAUACUUGGUGUGAAWUUGCAGAAUCCCGUGAACCAUCGAGUCUUUGAACGCAAGUUGCGCCCGAAGCCAUUAGGCCGAGGGCACGUCUGCCUGGGCGUCA